CACGUAGGGCGCAAGCGUUGUCCGGAAUUAUUGGGCGUAAAGAGCUCGUAGGCGGUCUGUUGCGUCCGCUGUGAAAACUCGGGGCUUAACCCCGAGCCUGCAGUGGAUACGGGCAGACUAGAGGUAGGUAGGGGAGAAUGGAAUUCCCGGUGUAGCGGUGAAAUGCGCAGAUAUCGGGAGGAACACCGGUGGCGAAGGCGGCAUCCUGGACCGACACUGACGCUGAGGAGCGAAAGCCAGGGGAGCAAAGCGGG
rnacentral:rRNA from 1 species